UUAAGUUCAGCGGGUAGUCCUACCUGAUUUGAGAUCAGAUCAUAAAUUGUAUUGUCCAAGUCAAUGGACUAUUGGAAGCGGUUCAUCUGCAUUUACCUUGGCCACUUUUUACGGUGUCCUCAGCGAUAGAUAACUUAUCACGCCGAGUGGAACCAAGCAUAACACUGAGAUCCAGCUAAUUCACAAAGAGGAGCAGGUGU
rnacentral:misc_RNA from 1 species